rnacentral:lncRNA from 1 species
AUGCAACUGCUAUCCCAUGUAGGAAUUGUCUUACACGGGAGAGAAACAGCACAAGAAGAGAGAAACGGAAAAACUGUGUGGCUUUUCCUGGGAACCACCCAAGGGAGUCUGCCUAAGAUGUGCUGCCUGACUCAAGCUGCUCUCCGUCUGUGUUCCAAAGAGAAAGGGCAUCUCUGCUGGGAAGGAACAGCCCCCAGCCUCCCUCUGUGUCCUGUGAGCUAGCAGAGAUCCUGCCUGGUGUCUUCUGGCUCAGAGAAGGCAAGAGAAGAGUAGCAGGAAGGACUGCAAUCAUAAUUGCAGGCUGAAGAGGUGAGCACAAGGGAACUGGGGUUGCUACAACCACUGCUGCCAGACACCUGAGAGAGAUCAGGUAGGUGACAGCUGCAUCUGUUCUGAAUAACCCUGACUUCUGUCUGAGCAGCCACAGCCACAACCAGCCUGCCUUUGCCGAGUUCCCACGGAGACUAAGCAGGCACCAUGAUGUCCCUCAGCACACUGCUGUCCUGGGCAACUCUCUGUUUUCAUAUUUCCUUGACUGGCAUCAUGCUCAAGUUAUGAAUUCUCUUCUGGCAUAAAAGAAGAAAAUCACAUCUGACUCACAGCAGUUGUUGAGAUCUGGAUUUAUUUUCCAAAGCCUAGACAGUGCUAGAAGCUCCUUGACUUCCAGGAUUUAAUGGGACUGCUAUCUCCAAAGGACAAGUACAAAAUGUGCAUAAUGAUCACUUGGUUGCUUCUGAUAAUUUUUAGCAAGAAUAGUAAAUAGUUUUCCAAAUUGUUGAUUAUGGAAGGUGGUAUUUUAUGAAAUGCACACUGCCUGUCAUGCUAAGCACUAAGCAA